rnacentral:rRNA from 1 species
UAGGGAAUCUUCGGCAAUGGACGAAAGUCUGACCGAGCAACGCCGCGUGAGUGAAGAAGGUUUUCGGAUCGUAAAACUCUGUUGGUAGAGAAGAACGUUGGUGAGAGUGGAAGGCUCAUCAAGUGACGGUAACUACCCAGAAAGGGACGGCUAACUACGUGCCAU